CUUCCAGUAGCACUUUAGAGACCAACUACGUUUGUUAUUGGUAUAAGCUUUCGUGUGCAUUCAUCUGAAAAAGUAUGCAUGCACACGAAAGCUCAUACCAAUAACAAACGUAAUUGGUCUCUAAGGUGCUACUGGAAG